GAUGAACGCUGACCGAAUGCUUAACACAUGCAAGUCCACUUGAACUUCGGUUUGGGUGGCGGACGGGUGAGUAACGCGUAAAGAACUUGCCUCACAGCUAGGGACAACAUUUGGAAACGAAUGCUAAUACCUGAUAUUAUGAUUAUAUGGCAUCGUAUAAUUAUGAAAGCUAUAUGCGCUGUGAGAGAGCUUUGCGUCCCAUAGCUAGUUGGAGAGGUAACAGCUCACCAAGGCGAUGAUGGGUAGCCGGCCUGAGAGGGUGAUCGGCCACAAGGGGACUGAGACACGGCCCUUACUCCUACGGGAGGCAGCAGUGGGGAAUAUUGGACAAUGGACCGAGAGUCUGAUCCAGCAAUUCUGUGUGCACGAUGAAGUUUUUCGGAAUGUAAAGUGCUUUCAGUUGGGAAGAAAAAAAUGACGGUACCAACAGAAGAAGUGACGGCUAAAUACGUG
rnacentral:rRNA from 1 species